rnacentral:rRNA from 1 species
GAUGAACGCUGGCGGCGUGCCUAAUACAUGCAAGUCGAGCGAACGGACGAGAAGCUUGCUUCUCUGAUGUUAGCGGCGGACGGGUGAGUAACACGUGGAUAACCUACCUAUAAGACUUGGAUAACUUCGGGAAACCGGAGCUAAUACCGGAUAAUAUUUUGAACCGCAUGGUUCAAAAGUGAAAGACGGUCUUGCUGUCACUUAUAGAUGGAUCCGCGCUGCAUUAGCUAGUUGGUAAGCUAACGGCUUACCAAGGCAACGAUGCAUAGCCGACCUGAGAGGGUGAUCGGCCACACUGGAACUGAGACACGGUCCAGACUCCUACGGGAGGCAGCAGUAGGGAAUCUUCCGCAAUGGGCGAAAGCCUGACGGAGCAACGCCGCGUGAGUGAUGAAGGUCUUCGGAUCGUAAAACUCUGUUAUUAGGGAAGAACAUAUGUGUAAGUAACUGUGCACAUCUUGACGGUACCUAAUCAGAAAGCCACGGCUAACUACGUG